CUGACAGCCCUUCAGUGUGAAAUCCUAUUUAUCCUCCCAAUAGCAAUAUUAUACACUGGCAGCAGUGCAUGCUUUCCCACACUGCCCUGUCACCAUGCUUCAACCCUAACUUCAAGGAAUUACCUAUAAGAGGAUAAUUUGGUUUCCAUGGCCCAGUCAAUUCUGUGACUGU
ensembl:misc_RNA